rnacentral:rRNA from 1 species
UACGUAGGGUGCGAGCGUUAAUCGGAAUUACCGGGCGUAAAGCGUGCGCAGGCGGUUCGUCGUGUCCGAUGUGAAAGCCCCGGGCUCAACCUGGGAAUGGCAUUGGAAACUGGCGGACUCGAGUGUGGCAGAGGGGGGUGGAAUUCCGCGUGUAGCAGUGAAAUGCGUAGAGAUGCGGAGGAACACCGAUGGCGAAGGCAGCCCCCUGGGCUAACACUGACGCUCAGGCACGAAAGCGUGGGGAGCAAACAGG